CCUGAUAAAUGUGGUGCCACAAACAAGGUGCACUUCAUCUUAAAGCAUAAGAAUCCCAAGAGUGGAGAGUACAUUGAACACCAUCUCAAGAACCCACCUUCUGUGCCCUCUGAUAAACUGACUCAUGUAUACACUGCCAUCUUGAAACCUGAUAAUGAGUUGAGAAUUUUAAUUGAUGGAGAGGAGAAGCAGAAGGCAAAUUUCCUCGCUGCUGAUGAUUUUCAGCCACCGCUCAUUCCUGAGAAGACAAUUCCUGAUCCAGAUGACAAGAAGCCUGAGGAUUGGGAUGAGAGGGCAAAGAUUCCUGACCCUGAUGCAGUAAAACCUGACGACUGGGAUGAGGAUGCUCCGAUGGAAAUUGAAGAUGAGGAUGCUGUGAAACCUGAAGGAUGGCUGGAUGAUGAGCCUGAGGAGAUAGAUGACCCUGAGGCCACAAAACCUGAGGAUUGGGAUGAUGAGGAGGAUGGUGAAUGGGAGGCCCCAAAGAUUGAUAACCCAAAGUGUGAAGCAGCCCCUGGAUGCGGCGAGUGGAAGAGGCCAAUGAAGAGGAAUCCUGCCUACAAGGGCAAAUGGCAUGCUCCACUUAUUGACAACCCUAAUUACAAGGGUAUUUGGAAGCCUCAGCAGAUUCCAAACCCCAACUAUUUUGAGCUUGACAAACCUGACUUUGAGCCUAUUGCUGCUGUCGGCAUUGAGAUCUGGACAAUGCAGGAUGGUAUUUUGUUUGACAACAUUUUGAUAUCAAAGGAUGAGAAAGUUGCAGAGUCCUAUCGGGCUUCUGCAUGGAAGCCUAAGUUUGAUGUUGAGAA
rnacentral:lncRNA from 1 species